rnacentral:lncRNA from 1 species
GUUUUUUGAGCCGGAGAGACGCAGCGGCGGCCCCAGUGCCGCCCCCGGGCGCGUGAGUGGAGCCGGGCUCCUUUCCCCUACCGCGCCGCGACCCCCGCCCGGGCUGCGCGCGCCGCCUCCCGCGAGCCCCCGGCCCGACUCCCGGGCUCCCGCGGGUGGGGGCCAGGGCUGGUCGGCGCCGGCGGGGCUCGCGGCGGCGGCGGGUUGCGUCCCCCGCGCCUGCUGGCCCACGUGGACCUGGCCGUCGCUUGCCGUGCGGCGCCUUUGCGAAAACUCGACGGAAGUGGCAGGGACCGGGCAUUACCUGCGAGUGCCGGGCGCCUCCUGCUCCGCUGUGCGCGCUUGGGGUGGGACUCGGCGGGGGAGGGGUCGUGUACAUUGUCCCACCAGGCGCAAUGUAGCCGGGCGGCGCAGAGGAUUUCUUUUUUGGUCUUGAGAGCAUAGAGUCCCUUUUCAUAUUCACGUGUACUCUUAAGAAAGCGUCUGUUCUCCAAACUGGCUUUCCAUUCUCCCCGUCCUAAAUGGUGCGUGGCUGACACCGUAGUGUUUUCAAAACUGGAUAUGGCCAGGAUGCUAUAGCAUUGUCAGUGCAUCUCCUUGGAAACAAUGCCAUCUUUGAAUGUGAGAGAUAAACCUAGUUUCAGCAUGUCUGCAGCAGAGACCAGUACAUCAGGCUUAUUCCCACAGGAAGCCUCCUAAAGCCUGUGGCGCGGCAACCAUUUCCAGGACUAAAUAAUAAUGUGUCAGAUGCCUGUGAGUGGACUGCCUGGCCAAAUGACUCAUGAAGAUAUUCACGGAAGAAUAGUCAAAAACCAAAGAAAAGGCAUAUUCUAGAAGCACCUUCAAUUCCAUCGAGGAUUUUUGAGCAGCUGAAGAAGAAAGUUCUGAAAAUAUGAGUGACAGGACUCCAGCACAUUUUUUUUAGUUGUUUCUUACAUUAUCUUUGUUAACCCAUCCGCUUUUGUGUAUAAUAUUAAGUUAUUUUCCACUACUGCAAUGGCUAGUAAUUUACUUAGGCUCAGAGUUUUACUCUGUAUGGACAGAGAAAUAGGAGGUAACAACAGUGGGAGAACAAAUAGGAACAGUUCACUGGGAUGUUGGUCCCCAGAAAUUGGCUUUCAUUGAAUAAUUCCUAAAGGGUGUCGUGUGCUGAAUUGCUUUUUCAUAGUGAUGUGCUGCUUCUUGUUCAUACUCUUAUGACUUUAAUUUCACCUUUAUCUACUCCCAGCCUCUGUAUAUGCCUACGUUUUUAAAAAUAAUUUUUG